GGAAAUGUGCCCGAAAACUAAGGAUCACUUUGAUAGAGUGAAACAUAGGGGUUAAAACCCCCUCAUUUC
rnacentral:tRNA from 1 species